rnacentral:rRNA from 1 species
AGAGUUUGAUCAUGGCUCAGAUUGAACGCUGGCGGCAUGCCUUACACAUGCAAGUCGAACGGCAGCACGGGAGCAAUCCUGGUGGCGAGUGGCGAACGGGUGAGUAAUAUAUCGGAACGUGCCCAGUCGUGGGGGAUAACGUAGCGAAAGUUACGCUAAUACCGCAUACGAUCUACGGAUGAAAGCGGGGGAUCGCAAGACCUCGCGCGACUGGAGCGGCCGAUACCAGAUUAGCUUGUUGGUGAGGUAAAGGCUCACCAAGGCAACGAUCUGUAGCUGGUCUGAGAGGACGACCAGCCACACUGGGACUGAGACACGGCCCAGACUCCUACGGGAGGCAGCAGUGGGGAAUUUUGGACAAUGGGCGCAAGCCUGAUCCAGCAAUGCCGCGUGCAGGAUGAAGGCCUUCGGGUUGUAAACUGCUUUUGUACGGAACGAAACGGUUUCCUCUAAUACAGGGAAUUAAUGACGGUACCGUAAGAAUAAGCACCGGCUAACUACGUGCCAGCAGCCGCGGUAAUACGUAGGGUGCGAGCGUUAAUCGGAAUUACUGGGCGUAAAGCGUGCGCAGGCGGUCUUGUAAGACAGAUGUGAAAUCCCCGGGCUCAACCUGGGACCUGCAUUUGUGACUGCAAGGCUGGAGUACGGCAGAGGGGGAUGGAAUUCCGCGUGUAGCAGUGAAAUGCUUAGAUAUGGCACA